rnacentral:rRNA from 1 species
UACGAAGGGGGCUAGCGUUGCUCGGAAUUACUGGGCGUAAAGCGCACGUAGGCGGUCUUUUAAGUCGGGGGUGAAAUCCUGGAGCUCAACUCCAGAACUGCCUCGAUACUGGAAGACUCGAGUCCGGGAGAGGUGAGUGGAACUGCGAGUGUAGAGGUGAAAUUCGUAGAUAUUCGCAAGAACACCAGUGGCGAAGGCGGCUCACUGGCCCGGUACUGACGCUGGGGUGCGAAAGCGUGGGGAGCAAACAGG